GCUUAUGUCGCGACAGUUUUGAUACUCUCCUUUCUCUGUAACCGUCGGUCAUCUUUGUUUACACUUGACGGGUCACCGUGUAAGCUAACUUAUUUCGCAGUGUAUAUCGAUGUUCGGGCGCGACAGGAUCAAUUACCUCCUCGAGUUGCUUUGAGAUCAAGCCGAGACGUUAAUCGACGUUCGAGCGUAGGUUACGGUCGUCUCCAAGUAACCUUUAAUUACAACCUACUAACCUUGCGAGACAUGCCACUUUCGCUUACGUCUUCUCUAAGCGAGUUUACCUAGUUCAGAUUAUCGAUUAUUGUUCUAUCUACGUAUCUCAAAGACGAAGUGAAAUCGCCCGUGGUCAAACUCAAGCUCGAAAUUCGCAUUCACCCGCUCGGUCUUGAAUAGAGUCUUUAAUGAGUUAUAUUACUCGGAAAACAGUUCUGCCUUGGAGUUUAAGUACCUGCGGACUGGGUGUUUCCUUCAUCUUCUACCCUGUGAAAAAUGUCUCGUUGGCGCGGUCAUGUUCUACUCUCGAAGAUCUCGGAGGUCGAAGGGGAAUCACCAGUUCGUAAAACGACAUUGGAGGCCUCAGCCAUGGUUUCUCCAAUUACGAGCAUCGUUCGCGAUCUCAGCAAGUCCACAUUGUUUUCGGAAGAUUCUCCGAAACGAGGGCGGAUGCAGUUUGAAUCCGAUGCAAUCAUUGCGAAGCUAGGUAAGUUCUUAUAUGGAAUAUGAAAUUGUUUUACAGCGCGUUAAAAAAUCCAUAUCGAUGUUACAUGACAGAUGUAGCA